rnacentral:tRNA from 1 species
GGAGAGAUACCCAAGUUGGCCAAAGGGGACGGACUGUAAAUCCGUUAGCUGUGCUUUCACAGGUUCGAAUCCUGUUCCCUCCA